AUUGAACGCUGGCGGCAGGCCUAACACAUGCAAGUCGAACGAGUGGCGGACGGGUGAGUAAUGUCUGGGCAACUGCCUGAUGGAGGGGGAUAACUACUGGAAACGGUAGCUAAUACCGCAUACCAUCAGAUGUGUCCAGGUGGGAUUAGCUAGUUGGUGGGGUAACGGCUCACCAAGGCGACGAUCCCUAGCUGGUCUGAGAGGAUGACCAGCCACACUGGAACUGAGACACGGUCCAGACUCCUACGGGAGGCAGCAGUGGGGAAUAUUGCACAAUGGGCGCAAGCCUGAUGCAGCCAUGCCGCGUGUGUGAAGAAGGUCUUCGGAUUGUAAAGUACUUUCAGCGGGGAGGCGUUACCAACAGAAGAAGCACCGGCUAACUCCGUGCCAGCAGCCGCGGUAAUAC
rnacentral:rRNA from 1 species